CACCGCCCGUCACACCAUGGGAGUCAGUUGCUCCAGAAGUCAGUGUCCCAACCGCAAGGAGGGAGCUGCCCAAGGAGUGACUGGUAACUGGGGUG
rnacentral:rRNA from 1 species